UACGUAGGUGGCAAGCGUUGUCCGGAUUUACUGGGUGUAAAGGGCGUGUAGCCGGGCUGACAAGUCAGAUGUGAAAUCCGGGGGCUCAACCCCCGAACUGCAUUUGAAACUGUUGGUCUUGAGUAUCGGAGAGGCAGGCGGAAUUCCUAGUGUAGCGGUGAAAUGCGUAGAUAUUAGGAGGAACACCAGUGGCGAAGGCGGCCUGCUGGAUGACAACUGACGGUGAGGCGCGAAAGCGUGGAGAGCAAACAGG
rnacentral:rRNA from 1 species